GUGCUUGCUUUGGCAGCACAUAUACUAAAAUAGAAAUGAUAGAGAAAAGGUAAGUAUGGUCCCUGUGCAAGGAUGACAUGCAAAUUCUUGAAGUGUUCCAUAUAUUU